AGAGUUUGAUCCUGGCUCAGAAUCAACGCUGGCGGCGCGCCUAACACAUGCAAGUCGAACGAGAAAGUGGAGCAAUCCAUGAGUACAGUGGCGUACGGGUGAGUAACACGUGGGUAAUCUACCUCUUAGUGUGGAAUAACUUUGGGAAACCGAAGCUAAUACCGCAUAAGCUCGAGAGAGGAAAGCAGCAAUGCGCUGAGAGAGGAGCCCGCGGCCGAUUAGCUAGUUGGCAGGGUAAAAGCCUACCAAGGCAUAGAUCGGUAGCCGGCCUGAGAGGGCACACGGCCACACUGGCACUGAAACACGGGCCAGACUCCUACGGGAGGCAGCAGUGGGGAAUCUUGCACAAUGGGGGAAACCCUGAUGCAGCGACGCCGCGUGAGCGAUGAAGCCCUUCGGGGUGUAAAGCUCUUUCGGCAGGGAAGACCGUGACGGUACCUGCAGAAGCAGCUGCGGCUAACUACGUGCCAGCAGCCGCGGUAAUACGUAGGCAGCGAGCGUUGUUCGGAGUUACUGGGCGUAAAGGGUGUGUAGGCGGUUGUUUAAGUUUGGUGUGAAAUCUCCCGGCUCAACUGGGAGGGUGCGCCGAAUACUGAAUGACUAGAGUACGGGAGAGGAAAGUGGAAUUCCUGGUGUAGCGGUGAAAUGCGUAGAUAUCAGGAGGAACACCGGUGGUGUAGACGGCUUUCUGGACCGUAACUGACGCUGAGACACGAAAGCGUGGGUAGCAAACAGGAUUAGAUACCCUAGUAGUCC
rnacentral:rRNA from 1 species